UCCACGACUAGGCUGGCAGGGACCCCAGGAUGGGAAUGAGUGGAUAACCAGGAUGGAGCUUGGAACUGAAACAUUUCUGAAGAGAACUGUGCUAGCAACUGUAAUUUUUACAGAUGUAUAUAUAGAUAGAUAUGUAUAUAUGCAUGAGGUUUUUUAAGGCUUUUCUGAAGUUGCAGUCUGAAUGCCAAAUUUCACUGCUCAUCUCUACUACUAAGCUAAAAAAAUGUUGGUAGCUAGGAAACAAAGUGAAGUAGUAAAGCUCCAUUUCUAACAUGAUGUGGUUAGGAUAUUUUGGGGAACAGUGAUGCUGCUCCUACUUUGUAAAACCAUACUAGGGGGUUGAAAAGCUAGAUAUAAAAGCUAAACACAGUUUCCUUCCAUGCCUUAGAAGACAUCUCACUGUCAUGUAGUCUUAACUGGCCUUCCAUGGCUUUCAAUGUGCUUUAAACUAUGCAUUGUUGACAGCUUACAUUUUAAACUUUUCUCAGGAUGGACAAUGAAGUUGGUCUGACACACUUAAGAUUAGUUUCUGGUUUCUGUGUAUUGGGUGGGAAUAGGGUGGGUACUUGCCAGAAUGAAAAAAUACUAAUUUGGAAGAGAGGGGGAGAAAAUCCGGAGAGCAUCCCCAGUCAAGCUAGUUUUUGCAGUUGUUUGCAGAAAAAGAUUUUGCCCCGAUGUUUUUAUGUAUUUCAGGAUAGAAAGGGAGAGUGAAAUAAGGUGGUUUCAGUUGAGAGGUUUCUGUUGAAAGGUAACUGUGCACAAGGUAGAGGACAAAACUCCUUGUAGAUAAGUACCCAGUCACAAAAACUGAUGUGCCUUGUACAAGCUGAUCGUGCUAAAGGGGAUGUACCUUUACAGGCAAGCCAGCAAUUGUUAUCUUCCCAGGAUGUGCAGUGAGCAGCUCAGACGUGCACAAAGGCCUCAGCCGUGUACGACAUUAGGUCUGCAGGUCUGUAAGCAGAUCGGAUGUCCUCACACCAAGCUCCCCUUUUGAGUCAGCUCAGCUCCUCUCCCAGAGGUCAGAGGAGACACAGGAAAGGUCCCUGAGCAGGCAAUGGAAACACUGAAAGGGAGGUGAGGCUUGAAUGCAGAUAAGAGGAGUGAAAACUAAUUUAUCUGAAAAAGCACUGUCAUUGUGGGGUAUAAAAUAAUGACUGGGAAGACCCUUUUAUUUACUGAGAGGCAAUAAUAGCAGAGGGCAGAUGAUAACACUGAGAGGGUGACAUUUUAGGGCUCUUUCAUCUAGGAGAGAGAGGCAUAACAAGCAACGGGGGUUGCAGUUUCAAGCCUGGCAAAUGUAAAUAAGAAAUGAGGCACGUUGCACACGGGGAGCUGGCAUACAUUGAAACAGGGUUUGUGUGGAGAUUGUGUGGGGCUCACCAUCUCUUAAUGGCUUUUUGUCCAUAAAAUGGCUUUUUGGGAGAUAAAAACAAAUUACUGAUCUCAACUGCAGCGAUGGCUGAAAUUCAGUGGUGGAGCAUUGGUCAGGCUAAGAAUUCCUGCCUUUUCUUCAUUCGGGUGGAGACUUGACUGAAAAAUACCCCCCCUUACCCAAGCAGCUCAGCCAUAGGGAGUGUCUCAGGGUGGUGGUGAGUGCAGUCACCUUCUUAAGGGGCUGUGACAUUUGCACGGCCAAGAAAAGGGUGCAUCCCUUUAUUGCCUGGGGGAAAGCGGGAUUAGUCUGUGUGGAAGCAGCUGCAGGCAAUGGCCUUUGAGUGGAGGCCUGAGGCCAGGAGGAGUCCUUGUGGUGUCUGCAGGAACAUGUCCACUGCCACACUUGUUGACCUAGGACAGCCACUCUGAGAGCUGUACUGGGCGGUCCCUCCUGUCCUUGACAACCUGCCUUCCUGGGAAAAAAAAAUGCUUGAGCCUCGGCACCCUGUAAGUGCUUCCAGCAGCUUGUGCCAGGCCUGCUCAGAGUCACCAUCCCCACUCCUUGGGAAGCCUUUCUGUGAAGGCUCUGUAGACAUUUCAGGACAAGCCUCUGCAUCCUUUCUUUCCCCUGCUCACAAAUGUUUCCAAGGCUCAUCCAUAGCAUCAGUGCAUGUUUCCCUUGGACCUUUCAGGAUCCCCUCCUGUUGUGUGCCCCUAGGGCAGAGACCUCCGUGUGCUCCCCUGUUUAACCUUGCCUCCUGUUCCCAAAAUCUCCAUUCCUGUGAAAUAUCCUAAGCCUCCCAUAGGCUCAGCUAAUGUGCUGUGACACAUCCUGCUAAUCUGCAAGCAGCUGCCCAGGCUGCCAGCACAUCCCAAGGUUUUGGGGUAAGGGCAGUCCAUGAUGAAAGCCCUACCUUGCCUCUGGCAUGCAGAGUGGGUCAAGUACUGCACAGGAGGUAGAAAAACACCUGCCAGUGAUGACUAAGUAUUAAUGUUUUCCCAGAAAGUGGCAAAUCUCUCAGCCUGGAGUCCAUCAUCAUAAAUAAUUUUUGUUUUAAAAGCAAACAAACAAACCAGUGGAAGUCUCCCAGCAGCAGGUGCUGCCUCCAUGUGAAACCCAGCCUCACAACCCAUGGUUCGCAAUUGCCUGUUUAUUCUGUCUGCUAUUUAUAGUUGGUCAAACCUUUCCAUCCUGCCUCGUGUUUCCUGCUUCCUCUAUCUUACUAAUGAAUGUAUUUACUGUUAGUAUUUUAAUAAAACAAACAAAAAAUUGUAUGAAAAAUACUGCCUUUGGCCAGGGUGCUGCUGGCUUGAGUUGUUCGGGAGGACACAGGCCAGCUGGGGAAGCUUGUGCUGUAAUGGAUGCUGGAGAAACAGUGAGAUGGGAAAAGAGGUGGUGCACAUCUAAAGCACGGGGCAGAGAUCAAGAAUGACAGGACUGCGUCUGUCUUCAUGGGGUGAACCGCAUUAUUUUCACUGGCUUUGUCUGAACCACCCCUCAUCUUGUGCCAGCUGGUUGUUGCUGGUCCCAGCUAGGGCAGCCCCAGCUCCAGCUGUGGCAAGUGGGCCCCUGGCUAGAAGGCAUGACAGACAUGGGAAAACCAACGUUGUGUCAGUCCAAGGGGAAGCUGUUUAACGCAGAGACUGGCUGACCGUGCUUGUGGAGAAGUUUGGCUGGGACACGGAUGCUGCAGGUGAUUGCAGGCUGGUGGCUGUAGCUGCUUGGUGAAGGUAGACAGUGACUCUGCAGCUGAAACCACUCUGAAAAACUGUGACAGAGAAGUGUCCUGAAAUCUCUGGGAUAGGUGACACUGGCCAACAUGGAAUAAAUGAAUUGAACAACCUGUGUACAAAAAACCACCGACGUGCCACUGAGCCUCACUUCAUCAUCCACUCUUCUGCAGACGUCCUUUGUACUGCUGCUACAUGAGCCAUGACUGCAGCCACCUCACUGUGUCAGCUUCACAUUUUUCUCCAUUAGGCUUGUAUUUCCUUACUUACAUGCAAGUUUAAGCAUUGCUUUAUAGCCUCAAGCAGACACCAAUCAUGUGCCUCUCCCUUAUUUAAAUUCAUUUUACAGGCCAACGCAGCACAAGAUUCUGUAAAGUAUGGCUGUAACUGAGGUCCUGCUUUGAGAGUCGGUGUUUUGGUCUGUGUCAUGAACUAUAUAGACCUCAUUGGCCUUAAAAUCCAAAUAAUUAUCACCCAUGCUGAUACCACCUUUGUGAAAAGGGCGAUUUCUUUCAGUUCAUAUUGGGUCAUUUAAGAAGGAGGCUCUAAACCUGACACUCACUUCUCUUUCCUGAGUAGUGCAUGAUUAACACUUGCUCUGGAUUUUUGAACAAGUGGGAUUUGCACCCCUUUGUGGAAGGGAGUGUAGCCCACCUGGUUGUUGCAUGAGUGGCUAUUUUCUCAUUUUAGAGAAGAUGGUAUUGCAAUUCACUGCUCAGCAGGAGACAGGUCCACAGCCUAAGAGACCUCUGAUUCCCUAAGAUAUCUCUGUUCUCCCCAGGAAUCUCUGUGGCUGGAGAGUGGGGAGAGCCUUGCUGUGAAAUGAUGGAAGUGGUGCGUGCCUCUUCUCCCAGAAAAAAACCUAGGUAGCUAAGUGGAUCAGGUAUAAAGUGUAGAUAGAGAAAGCACAAUGAGUUUACUUUUUUUAAGUAGUUGUCUACCCAGGGUGCAAAUUCUAAACCCUCUAAAAAGGCCAGUUGUGAUAACAAAUGUUUAUAAAAAUAACGUAGCUGAUCUUAGAGGGGAAGUUCAGGGUGUGUUUUGUUAAUCUUAGGAGGUCUGCACAAAAUUAAUUUAUUACUUAUUUUUACACUGGAUAAUUUUCAGGCUGGUUUUUUUUUAACACGGCUGCUAAUGUAACAAUAGGAUGGGACUGAACUGUUAGCAGCCUCAGGCACUGUCCAAUGAUUCACCAAAGCAUUUCACUUGUACUACAGCUGAUAUUUGUGUGACAUUCAGCAUGCCAGACUGGAACAUUCAAUAUUUGGGACUCGGAUUCCUCCCAGACAGAAAGGCGCUUAGGAGAGGCUUCAGCCUAUCUCUGGGCUCCUUCCUUUAACAAAAAUCUGAUUAAAUUAAUUAUGUUUUGUGAGAAAAAAAAAAGGAAUAGAAAAAACAACAUAUGAGAUGUCAGUGAAAAGAAAUAGAAAAAGCUUUCUGAGCAAAAGGCUUGAAACAAUGGAUUCCUGCCAUCUUAGCUGUCUCACCUUUCCUACUGGCUCAGCUGUGAUUUACAUUUCUAUUCAUAAAAGAGUGAUCCUGAUGUGAAACAGCUCUGCAAAUAACCAGAGCAAGAUUCAUGCAUCCUUUCACAAUAUUCCAGCUCAAUAUUUUAGUGGAAUAAAAACUGAAGAAAAGGAUAUUUUUUUAAUUGAUGUUUUCUUUGGAAACUGGGCGAUGGGGCUAUUUCUUCAGAACUGCCUUGGAAGAUGUAGUAGUGCACGGACUGGAUGCUCCAGAAGGGUAGGCUCUUUCUGCAAAACACCACCCACAUUCCAGCUUUCUUACCUGAGCAAUUUUUUUUAAUGCCAAAUACUUUUUCUGACAAGAUUUACAGGGGUCUUAAAGAAUCUCACCAAAAAUCAGAUUGGUAAAAUGUCUAAUGGCCCUUCCUCCAUCUGGUACAGAAGGGAGUUAACAGCAUAACGAUGCUAGAAUGUUUAGCAGUUCAUGUGAUUGCACAAACGUUUCUUUUAUUCCUAGAAAUGGGAAUCAAAAAGGGUUUUAUGAGCUUGACAGAUUGCCCCAUUCUACACUGUCCAUUGCUCAUUUCACCUCCAACGAUACACAGCUGCAACAUGUUUGAUGUGCCUGUGAACCUGAAUCAAAGCAAUGAACAUCUUCUUAAAUAUUUCUGUAACAAAACCUGCUCAAUAGACUAAAUUAUCUACAGGAGGAGUCCUACAGGAAGCACCUGCACUUUGGUAUUUAGUUCAGCAUUGUGUUUCCUAAUGCUGCUGACCUGUUCUGUGAUCUUGAAAAAAAAAGGUUUUUUAUUUGUUUCCUCUCAGAUCCCAUCACUCUUUUGUCUCCUUACAGGCUGAGCACUUCAUAGCAGAAUCUGUCUCAUCCCCUUUGUUUGUAGGAGGCUCUGUGUGGCUCAGUCAAAGCCCAUAGAGAGUGAUGUCAUAUGAAUAGUGCUUGUCACCUGGGCAGAACAAUGGAGAGGUCUGUCUGAUUUUCCCCCCUGUCUGUUGUGCCACAGGACCAUUUUAUGGUGUUGUGAAAGCUGAUGAUGUGAGCGAAGAGAUCAAACCUCACCUUGGGAUGCUGCUGCAGUUCCUGGUUGCUGGCACAGUAAUGCAGAAAUGCAGAUGAAUUUCCUGCUGAUGCCUGGACUAGAUGCAAUAUAAAGCAGCUUGAAGGAAGAUUUGUUCAAUUCCAUCUUCAAAGAAGCAGGAGGUAUUUUUGUUGAAAGAGGAGCACCAGCAUGGUCCCCUGUAAAGGUGCAGGUGCUGCUCUGAGGCAUGAGCUCCAGUAAGUGAAGUUAAAUCUAUGGGGAGCAGCAGAGUUAAGGAAGCCUAGCUUCUAAUGCCUUCAUUGCAGCGCUAGAAUUCCCUAUGCCUUCCAUACUUACUCUUACAAUACCCUCCAGUCCACUUCAAAUCCUCUACUGGGCUGUGUAGCAGACAGCAAAGGCUGGACAUGGUGCCUGGACACCAGACUCACUAGGGGCUCUUUGAUGCCUGCUGGGGAGCCCAUCAGGGGUGCCACCCCAGUCUGUGUGCCUGCAGAACAUCAGCAAGAGCACUUUCCAACCACAAGGACUGCUCUGAAGAGACAAUGUUUUGGGCUGACACAACGGGCACUGAAGUCAAGCAGCUCACCAGAAGAGAGAGGAGAGAAUUUCAUACUGAGAUGUUCUGAACUGUAAAUGAAAGAAGAGUGUAUGAAAAAGGAAGACAGUUUUCUGUAGCUUGGAUCAGUCUCAGCUGUUAAGAGUCUAGUUUGUACAACACCUCAGUCCUGGAGUAUUUAGGCUUUCUAUGUAACCAAGCUACCUGGCUUUGGGCUGUUCUGUUGCAUGGGGCUUCUUACAGAUCAAAAACUUGGUGGCAUGUAGUAUUUCUUUGAAAGUUUAAUGGGGAUGAAAACCAUAUGAAGGUAAUGAGAUAAAAAUCUCAUGACAUCUGUUUGCACUUUUAAAAAUUGCAUGAAAACUGAAAGCAUGCAAAUAAGCUCAGCAUUUGAAGAGUGAUGAGCAGUGUUCCUGCUGCUUGUGUGUCAGCCUGGAGCUGCUAAUGACUAGACAGGCUAUAACUGCAGCUGAGAGAAAGCCAUGAGGAAACAGCACUUGAUUAAUAAAGCAAAAUGCCAGCUUUCAGUACUGCUGGAGUGCCCGGACAGGUGGGGUAUGACAGUCUUGAGCAGUCCUGAGAACUGCUGACUCCACCAAGCUGGCUCAACACAAAGCUCAUAGUGACUCUGGAGCAGACAAUCUUUUGCUUCUCUUUCAAACCAUUCUGACACUAUCUAACCCUUUUCCUACACCUGAAUGUCCAGGGGUUAUUCCAGACUGUCACCAUGACAGCCAGGUCAUCCCCAGGCUUGUAGCUGGUGGAAUCAGGCAAUCAAAUGCGGGAUGCUCCAGGUUUCUGCACAGGUGCUGCAGACAUUAAAGCAUGGGAGGUCGUGGCAGGUGUACUAGCCAAAGCCUGAAACUGUGCUUGGAGCACCAGAGAAGAAAAGUAAGGAGACCAAUGGAAAUAUGCAUGUGGAAUGAAUCCCUCUUUCCAUCCUAUGUCCAACAGUAGCCAGCACCAGGUUUCCUAGAAAAGAUGUCAGGGCUUGGAGGGGUCAAGUGUGGAGUAAGCACAUCUCUGCCCCUCAUCCUCUGUCAUGGGUAUACCUGCCAGCUAAGCAGCUCAGUCAAUGAGCAGCCAAAGACAGGUCCUGGAGCAGGAUAACUCAUGCUCCUUCUGACACAAGUGGUCAUUGUUUGCAGCGUUUCUGAGCCUUGCUGACUGCCUUCAAAAUUAUAGAAGUUGGCCUGAUGGCACAGAGAUAACUGAAGUCAGACAUACUCCCCCCGCUCCCUGAGAGGGAAGCUCCCUAGGCCAACUCUGAGAAGCCAGCAACAAGAAUUAGAAGAAAAAAUUGCAUAACUUACUGUUAUUUGCAAUGGCCCGGUGCCUUCCAGCUACCCAGGCCCUUUCUGAGUACUGCUGAGUUUAUGGCUGGUGUUAAAAUAUGUGUAUUCCACUGGAAUUCCCCAUUCUUUAACUCUUUUUCCUCCAUCACUUUUGUGCUUAUGAGAGAAAAUGGCAGGUGUUCCCAGCUGUCCCCUUAAAGACCACUGGCACACUCAUACUGAUGACUCUAUUUCUCUUUCUCCUUGAGGCAGUGUUCAUCCUGGAACAUUCAGGGUCGUGCCACUAUCACUGUGUUAUAUCCCAAAGGGGUGGGUGAGCAGACCUGUAGCUCAUAGCAGCUGACACAAAGGUGUUGGGACCUCAGCAGUGGUCCCACCAUGACUACAGUGCCAGCCUCCUCCCCAGGCAUUGCUACACAUCACUUAGAGCCCCAUAAAGCCCACGAGUCAGAGAAGGGUUCCAGGAUGCUUUUAUUUGUUUUCAUCCCCCUGACUUUCUCUUGCAACAGGGAUCCCUCUUCACUGAACCACUGAGGAGUGUCUCCCCAAGCUUUGUCAAGUCCUUUCUCAUGCAGGAGGCAUUUGCAUCACUUUUAUCUCCUUAUACAUCUUCCUUACCUCAUUACACAUCCUUCUUGCCUUCUUGUAUUAUUUUACAUCUUCCUUUCUAGAUCAUUAAAGCAAUCACCACAUUGCAAUGAAGCGGGGCUGCUGACCAGUGAAGGAGCCUUGCCAGGAGGAAAGUGGAAUGAAGGAUAAGUAUUAUUAGGUGCCAGCAUGUCAGGCUCUGGGAUCAGGGAAAUUCAGGAGUAUUGUAUAAUGCAAGGGAUCUCAAGAUGCUAAAAAUACAGACUUGUCAACAAAUGCAACAGUGCAGAUUUGUAGAAGAGCUGGGAGGGUGAGUGAACAGAAAUCCCAACAACCCCAGACAGUUCCAUGUGAUACAUCUAUCAGCCUCUGACUUCAGGGCUUUACUAAGGGAAUUUGGAAAACACACUAUAUCCCAUUAAUUCUGGCUGGAAAGCUCUUCUUGAGUUAGCUGACUGUUCUCUUCAGGUCAGUCUAGCAAAGAAAAACUCCUCCUGACUUGAGGGCCUAAGAUAGCAGCUCUUGGGUUCUGCAUCAGGACAGUACCUGUGGGAAGGGAGAGCCUAAGAGAGGCUCUGUUAGAGCCCAGAACCGAGAAAAUGGAUGAUAAAAUGAGGGGACAGCCAUCACAUGGAUAGAGAGCUGAUAGAGCUUCACUCCAAGAUCUUUUAAAGUCAGUUGCAUGUAAGCACUUUCUUUGAAGUAAGUGCAAGCAGUUCUCUGAGUAAGAACUCAGAAGCAGAAUUGGGCAAGGCUUGAUGGUACAAAUGUGACUGCAGUCAGGAAAUACUCUCUCUUUUCCUUGAGAUACAAACUCACUAACCUCUGUGGGAUGGGGGGGACAACACUGGAAAUGAGAGCAAGAAUUGCACAACACCCUGUGACAGAAACCAGGCUUGACUCCCAGCCAGUGUAAAUUUGAACUAAAUGCUAUACUGGAUCAAAAGUCCACCGAGUUCAUUCUCCUAGCUUUGACAGCAACUAAAGUAUAAAAACUGGGCCUUGACAGAGGGAUCUUUUCCCUUCUGCACCCUUUUAGCACCUGACAGCUUGCACUGCAGAUAUGUCCAGAGAUGGAGCUUUGGCUAGACCACUAUAUUUGACCAUGAGAGGCUUCUCAUCAUCUGUUGUGCUGUUUGAGGCACUGAGAUGGUUGUUUUCCACAAUAUCCCACAGCAAUGAGUUCCAUGGGGUGGUUAUAUCCCAUGUUAAAGGGGGUAACUGGGUAGGUAGAGAGGCCAAACGAAUGUUUACUGCCUGAACCACUACCCAACCCCCCUUCCCCCCUUCUCAACAUACACAGAAUUAAAAACUAUGAACCUUUCAGUCAGUGCUUAUGAAGAAAUCCCACAGCUGUACCACACAGAAAAAAUGGGAAAGUCCAAGUUUGAGACGGGUUGUUGGUCAUUCCACAAGAGUAACAUCUUCAUGGGAAUUUUGCCAACUAAAUUCAAUUGUGAUGCUGCAAAAAUGUUGUGUAAAUAAUGUUUCUGUGAUACAUGUGUUGCAAGUUAUUACCAAGCCAUAAAGGAUCUGGGAAAGAAGAAACCGAAACACAAAAUGCUCUGUGAUGCCAGAACACCUUCUGGAAUUAAGGCUCCCAGCCACACCUGAGGAGGAAUGAAUACCUGUACUAGCCAUGGAAAUGGCUGCCUGUUAGAAGAACAGAGCUGCCGCACCUGAGAAGGAUUUCUGCUUUGCCAAAACUUGGCCUACUAAAAAAGCUACACGGAUGUGGUCCUGAUGCAUGGCACAGAUGCUGCUGCAGCUUGGUGAGUUGGAAGGAGGCAGAGGAGAUGUAGAAUGCAAACCAUCCAUCUGGCUGGGACGGCUGAAUCCUCAGGUGCAGGCUGUUCUCUGGGAAGUUGAAGCCAAGCGUCCCUGAACUCCAUCAGAUUUUCCCCAUCAAUUUUCCAGGAGUUUGGGAUCAUCUUUCAGUGGUCCAGAUCUGCACCACCUGGCAGCUAUUGAUAUCAAGUUAGGAGAAUGAAGAUGAAUGGUCCAGAGGAAUAUUCAAUUACAUGGUUUCCUUCCCAAAGCACCUGUCUAGAGAUGGAUGGGCACUCCCUCUGUUUCUGGAAGCCACUGCUGCUGAAUCAGAAUCAGCUGGUUGCGUUGGAAUACAGAGGUAAUACCCAGAGGGAAACCUGUGCUCUGCAGAGCCUGACUUCUCAAGACCCUGUGAGCAAGAGUGUCAAGAGACAAGCUCUCAACAGUCUGCCUUGUUCUGGAUGUGCAACUGCUCCCCACCCCUAGCAAAGAGCUUCAGCACAGAGAUAAGGGAAGAACUUUCUCCUGAUAAGCAACAUUUCUCAUUCCACCCUCUGUAACUAAGCACAUGCUCAGCUUGACUAGGACUUCCCUUGUGAUCCUGAAGCUUCACCUCUGCACUCCUGAAUUGUCUUUAUCCAUCAGCAUCCCAAGGGCGUUGCUGUGGUACUUACAAUCCGCCUCUGCUUUAGGCGCAGGAGCAUUUUCUUUCUCCAUGUCAUGAUGCAGGAGUGCACAGCUUUGGGAAGUGACAAGUAGUAGGUUUCUUCAUGGUCUUUGAAGCAUUUGGUAGAUAUUUUGAUGGCUUUCUACUACUUAGCAUGGAAUAUUUGCAUCCUCUAUGAUACAUGAGAGAAUUCACUAAGAAAUGAUGACUCACUACCCAAAAUCUUUCACUGAAUCUCAGUCUUUUCUCCAGAAGUUUAUUCUAUUCUAUUCCCAGCAUGUGAGAUGUGGUGUUUCUUGCUCCUGUAAAUGUUCUAGUGAACCAUUAUUUUCAUUAGCAUUAGACAAACAGGGUUUUGAACACCACUAUUACUCUCCUUUACCAGUCUCACCCCACUUCUAUUUUUCCUUUUCAUUGGCUUCUAAGCAAGCACUUUAAAAUGUGUCUUUCCUAGACAAAUGCGUUACGGAAGGAGUCUGGUCUCCAUACCUGCCAGCAGUAGUAAUCCAGCUCUCAGCGCUAAAGAUAAGACAAGUAAACUGAAAAUUUGAGUGAACCUACUCCAAGAGCUCAGGGAAAAGAAUGAAAAAACUUCCAAUUAUUUCCAUAGCGGGGUAGCAAGCUUCUACUUGGAUACAGAACAAAAUAAAAAAUCACUCUGUAGCAGGAGGGACUCAAAUACAUAUAUUGAAAUAAUACAAGCAGAGAAGAACAGUAUACUGGGAGAGAAAAGUGGUCAAAGAGGGGAGAAAGAAGUUGUCUUUAGUGGACAAUAUUCUGAGAGUUGGGGUCAUUUAAAACCAUAUGAGCCCACAGACCACAAGCCAGACUGGGGGAACUAUCUAUCUUUUGACUUACUGGAAUGUGAUGAUAGAAUGAAAUAUAAACAAUUUAGCCAUCAUCAAGACAGUCUUCUUGGUUCCAUCAAAAUCUCACCUAGGGCCACACACUUUGCUUCCUAAAUUGUGACCAUACUCAGCAGACACUGGAGUUAUUAUUAGACAUUUUUUAAGAAACCAAGUCGAGAAGAUCAAAAGUGCUUUUCUUUGCUGGGCACAAGCAUAUAUGAAGAGAGACAGCCCCUGGAUUUGGGAAUCUGUAAAGAUACAGGUGGGAGACAGGAAGUGCAAUUCUUCUAUUGCUGCAGAAGUCCAGGCAUGGAGGAGAACAUGCAUGCAAUCAAAGACCAUUAAUGGCAAAGCUCAGAGCUGGAGUCAAGUAUGGUACUCUCCAUUACUGUUGCUUAUACCAUAAGUUCUUCUUGCCUCUUUGAAGUUUCCUGAUAGAACCUAACUCUUCUGUAGGCACACCCCAAAGGUGGUGAUAGUUAUUGUUUAUAGACUUAAUUUUCUACAUCUAAUUCUGGCCCUAGUGAAAAGCAGUAUAAAUUCUGAGACAUCACCUCGACAGAUAUAGAAGUUUGGUGCUCACAUCUCACCCUGUGCAUAGAUUUCUAGAGAACACAGCACACAGAUGAUAAAAUCAGUGCCAGCAGAUGUAAGGAAAACUCCAUUGAUACUCCGGUUCUUGCUCCGGGAUUGCCCACAUGCCAAACUUUAAGUAGCUUGGGCAUUGUGGAGAAAUUGCCCCAAGGCCAUUUCUCAUUAUCUGUCUCCUCAGAAGGAGAGUGGUCAUUAGGCAAUGCUAACGAAGGUUUUAGCCUUGAUCAGGCACUGAGGAAGGAGACUUUCUCUGGUCACAGCCACAGUGGGUCAGCCCACCUCACUGGCUGCUUAUGAAAGCCACUGUCAGAAUUACAGAUGGAAAAUGCAUGACAAGAUCUGACUGUUACAGCCACAAGGACCACAGUGGCUGAUCUCGUCACAUCACUUGCAAAACCCAACACACAGAGCUAUGCCUGGCCAGCUGUCAGUCCAGAUGUUUUGUUCUUCCCCAGUACUUAUCAAACCCAGCACAUUCUGGUAAACUAGACCACGUACUUUAGCAAUUAUCCCACACUGGAUGUAAAGAGUCCAAGUGAUGACAAAUUCACCGUUUUUCUCAGGAAAUGAUUUCAGUUAUUUCUUUCCUGAAAUCUUAAAAAACCCCCCACCCCUGCAUCUUACUUUCAGCUUGAAUUUUAUGAGUUCCAUUUUCUGGGUUGGACUUUAUUAGGGUUUUGUCUGUGGGGUAAUAGACCUUCCUGCUCUUGGGUGCAUUUUUCUUUAGUAGAACAUUAAAAUACCAUAGUGUCCCUUAGUUUCUUCUGAUAAAUUAUAUGGGAUCCUGAAGAAUUUAUUAUCUUAGAUAGUAUCUUAGAGAUUGUAUGUAAUUUCUGCAGCUCAUUUCUAAACCUUUCCAAGUCAUUCUGCUUCCCUUUUGUAAUGUGGGUAAAUGUUUUGUCAAUGUCAUGCCAGUGGGAAAUGUUCUUUCUGCUACUCCAUAUCUCCUUAAUUAUCUUCCAGGAGGAAUAAGUUAGGCUUUUUUGCUCUGCCAAGAGCCAGCUUCCAGUGAAUUAUCUGCGUUACCCUCCAGAGCUCCUCAAAGUCACUGCUUUCCAGUAUGCAACCUCAUAAACACAUAAAGCUUGUCUAUAUGGACUACUCCCUGCAAUAUUCAUCUAGGACAGAACUUAUGACACACAUCACCUGAUUGCUGACUGAUUAUGAACAGCAGGAAUCACUUUGUAUCACUGAUCUGCUCUUACUGCCGCUUUGCUUUUCCAGUUUUCUACUCAGAAACUCCCCAGCAUGGGGAGCAUUGAAAUGCUGUCCUAGCAUUCUGCUGUCUUCCAGAAUAGGGAAUAACUCAUAUUCCAGUCCACUUCCUUUCCCUGCCUCACUCACAUUCACCUGACACUGUUAUUUUUUUGCUAUGUUUGUGCCAACCAGGUUUUAAUAAAUUUUCUUCCUUUAUUUUUUCCCCA